UUAUCUAUAAGUAGAAAAGGCUCUCUACACACUCUUCGGAGUACCUGAGAUGAUGUAUACGCCGCCCAUCAUAGAUAA
rnacentral:ncRNA from 1 species